AGCACGCACACGAGAUCACAACCGCCCACCCCAGAAAAUCCAGUUCUCUUGUGCUGCUGAAUGUUUUGUUUUGCCUUCUCUCUUCUCUGUCAUUUGCCUGCUGCUAUUCCCUACCCUCAAUUCUAGAAAGCGGAAAUCCUACUCAGGCGCUGCCGUGGAUUUCUCUUUAGGCUUCUACCUAGGAGUUCAGGUGCUGCAGGUCACCUGACUGGCCCAGAAAGUGAGAGGGGCUCCCUGGUCCCAGAAGGCAAAGCCCUCCUGUGCCUGUUUAUGCUAAACCUAAACAUUUAAUUGAUCCUGCUUUCUAGCAGGUCCCAGGAGACUUUGUCAGCCUCUUUCUUGGAAGCACAAAUCUACAGAAGAUAUUUCUUCCAACCAUUCUCCAACAAUCAAGAGAGGGAGAAUCUUAGAAUGCUCUGGUUUUCUGACCUGUUGUCUACAGUCUCCGGGCCCAUACCUUUGUGCCCCCCCGAGAACAGAACAGACUGUCUUGAAUUAAUUCUGCAGAAGAAAGAACUGAAAACGGGGGAGUGUGAAGCAUCCCUAAGAAUCAGAAAUAAGCAAAACUCAGCCAAUACGAGGUCUGAAAUUUCUCUCCCACCCUCCUGCUGUCCCACUUUGUUGUAAGUAUAAACAGCUCUCCUCUGCUUUGCCUAGCUAGCAAGCUAACGAGGGAAGUGGGUUUUUACUGUGCAAACUCUCCCUUCUGUAUGUUGCUGGGGUGGGGUGCGCUGGGGGCAGAUACAUCUGUCUUUUCACCGGCCUGAGGCAGUAGCACAGGUCCUAGAAUCUCCCUGAUCCUGGAUCAUCUUCCAGAGUUUCCAUGGAAGCUGAGGCAGCCCCAGCAUGCCAGGCUUAGGCUACCUGGUGAUGGAUCCCCCACCCCCCAGGGGAGGACCCCAAAGAGUCCUUUGGGUGAUGCUACUCUGGUUCUCUCCCCAGAAAACCUGGCUUCUGGAGGUGAAGAGGUUGAAGGACUCAAAAAAAAAAAAAAAA